rnacentral:rRNA from 1 species
UACGUAGGGGGCAAGCGUUGUCCGGAUUUAUUGGGCGUAAAGAGCGUGUAGGCGGCUUUACAGGUCCGUUGUGAAAACUCGAGGCUCAACCUCGAGACGCCGGUGGAAACCGUAAGGCUAGAGUCCGGAAGAGGAGAGUGGAAUUCCCGGUGUAGUGGUGAAAUGCGUAGAUAUCGGGAGGAACACCAGUGGCGAAGGCGACUACCUGGCCCAUUCUUGACGCUGAGGCGCGAAAGCUAGGGGAGCGAACGGG